rnacentral:rRNA from 1 species
AGCGAACGCUGGCGGCAGGCUUAACACAUGCAAGUCGAGCGGGCCUUUCGGGGUCAGCGGCGGACGGGUGAGUAACGCGUGGGAACGUGCCCUCUGGUUCGGAAUAACUCAGGGAAACUUGAGCUAAUACCGGAUACGCCCUUUUGGGGAAAGGCUUGCUGCCGGAGGAUCGGCCCGCGUCUGAUUAGCUAGUUGGUGAGGUAACGGCUCACCAAGGCGACGAUCAGUAGCUGGUCUGAGAGGAUGAUCAGCCACACUGGGACUGAGGCACGGCCCAGACUCCUACGGGAGGCAGCAGUGGGGAAUAUUGGACAAUGGGCGCAAGCCUGAUCCAGCCAUGCCGCGUGAGUGAUGAAGGCCUUAGGGUUGUAAAGCUCUUUUAUCCGGGACGAUAAUGACGGUACCGGAGGAAUAAGCCCCGGCUAACUUCGUG